rnacentral:rRNA from 1 species
UACGUAGGGGGCAAGCGUUGUCCGGAUUUAUUGGGCGUAAAGAGCGUGUAGGCGGCCAGGUAGGUCCGUUGUGAAAACUCGAGGCUCAACCUCGAGACGUCGGCGGAAACCCUCUGGCUAGAGUCCGGAAGAGGAGAGUGGAAUUCCUGGUGUAGCGGUGAAAUGCGCAGAUAUCAGGAAGAACACCCGUGGCGAAGGCGGCGUCUCUGGGACGGUACUGACGCUGAGACGCGAAAGCGUGGGGAGCAAACAGG